UCUCCAAAGUCUGACCGUGAAUCCCGCCUUUGCUAAGGAGAGAGCAAGCAGCUGAAAAUGUGAAAAGGAUUGGGGCCCGCAGCGAUGUGCCAGCUGAUGUCGCUAGGAAGGCCCAGCAAGUCCCGUGCUUGGGUGGCAGUAGGACUUUUGGAAGGGUUUUUUUUUUUGAAGCAUGUCCUUCUGCUUCCCUGCAGCAUCCCAGAUCCAGUGCUGCUGGGUCCUGGCGAUCUCGGGGAGCUGCCUGACAGCUCGGGUGUUUGCUGGUCAGGACACCUAAGGUUACGGCACAUUGUAGUGCACACCCCAAGCUUUGGGCAGGACAAACACCCAAAGACCUGCACCGACUCUGAUGACCUUCCCACUCCACGAGAAGAUAGCCGGACCUUCCCGAGAAGCCUUUGGAAGAAACAUUUGGACACUGAAACACUGGAGCACGUGCAAGCUGAAACCCUGCUGCCCACCAGCCCCCCAAAAUGGCCAUCCUCCUAGACGUCCUCCUAAAAGGACGUCUUCCUGCAGAGCCGGGGAGAGCCGGGGCUUUGCCGCCCUGCCAGCAGCGGGUGUCUCUGUAGGCAGCCAGCGCUGUUUAUCAGUUAGGGGUUGUGUUUUGUGGGUUUCCCUCCUGAUAGAGAGCUCCGUGCAGAUGUUGAAAUUCACGUUUCUUGACAGGAGUUUGGCUGAGGGCUCUCCAUCGCCUAAACCACAAGCAGCUUGAGCGCGGGUCGGAGCCAAUUGCUUUCCCAGAGCCUUUUGGAGAGCUGGCUUGUGCUGGCUGCACUGCCUGGCCUCAGAGCAGAGCUGCUGCAGUCUGAUCUGGCUUUUGCUAGAGGCUUGAAAACAAAAUAGAUGCCCCAGCAGUUGCUUUUUUUUUUCUUUUUUUUUUUUUCUUUUUCUCCUGGCUCCUCACCCACCUCCUCACAGCGCUGCCAGCUCCCACCAAGUCUCCCCUCACCCAUCCUCACCUCCAGCUGGCCGGCUGGGUGCUGUGCUUGGCACCGGGCCGCAGGGGAAGGGGCAGGAGGGCUGGAAGGAGAGGAUUUUGCCGUGUGGAUGGGGCUGAGGAGCUGAGCAGCCAGGCAGGGUGAACAGGACCUCUGCCAGGGGUUGCCUGCCAUCUGCUGGCAAAUCCCACGGGACGGCUGGGGCUCGGCAGGGAGCUGCAAAAAGCCAAACCUGUGCUUGCCCCUCCUGCUGUGCCAGCUGCUUGGAGCAUCCUGCUGGUGACAGAGGACACCGGGCAGCCCCCAUGUAGGGGUUGCAGCAGAAGACCCAGAUCUUGGUCCUGCUCUUGGCUCCUUCUUGCUUCUCUUCAUCCCCCUCCGUGAAAAGCUGGGCUGCACUCAACCACUCGGUGCUGCCCGCUGUGGUUGUGGGUUUGGUUUUUUAUUUCUCUGCUGGGAUGAUGCUCAGGACAUCAGCACCUCACAUGCAGCUCUCUGGGGAAGCUCAGUGUGUGUGGGGGGAAGGGGCAGCAGCUCCCCAGCUCUGCUGCUGCACUGGGGCCCUCUGAUGGGGCAGAGAAAUGCGCUGUGCCCUGAUAUAACUUUGUAUGGGCGGCCACGCCACGCUCUGUGGAAGAAAACAGCACCCUCGGCCAUGUAUCCUGCAGGGAGCACGGCCCUGACAGCAUCUGCAAGCAAAUGAGCAGAGGGGCAGCAGCGAGGCCUCAUCUGAGAGGGAAAUCAGCAUUUUAAUAUUCUGCGUGGGGCUCUGCUGGGUGGCCGGGGCCUGUAGGUGCCGUGUCAGAGCGACGCUGGUCAUUAAUAAUAAACCCGAUGCUGAGGCGGCACCGUGAGUGCUUUCUCAGCUGGAAGGGGCAGGCAGAGGGGCUGAGGCCGGACCCCUGGCCAGGAAAGGGCUGGAGGCCGAGGUAAUUAGCUAACGAUGGGCACAGCAGGUGCUGCUUCAGCCCCAGGCCGCAAUUUCUCCACAAGCAUUUCCCCGUAACCUGCCUCUGGGGCGAUUUUUCUGUCAAAUGGAUCUGUUGCUUCACUCUUUCUUUAUAAAAUGAUAUAGCUCGUGAGCAGGGCAGCCUCGCCCCAAAAUAAAUGACGUAUCAGUCCAUCGGGAAUGGCGAGAGUUUCGCCGUUGCAAAUUUCAGGCAGCAUUUAGCUAGGUCUGCUGGGUUUAUUUCUCGUGAUCUCCGGGAUCUUGCUUCGUUGCAGAUGGAGAUGGAUGCUGUCUGCGUUCUCAGCAAAACCUACACUUGCUUGGUCUCUCUGGCCUCCAGACUGCAAGGUGUCUGUGAGGAGCGAGGCCUCCAGGCCCUCUCACACGUGCUCCUUUUAACACACCAGGAAGCGAGGAUGUCGUCAAAGCUGCAGUUUUUGCAGCUCCGGGAAAGCAGGAGGUUGCCUGGAGACUGCCUGCCUGACUCCUGGGUUUAUCUGCUCUUUUUUAUUUUUCAGUCUUUCCCCAAACAGGCUGUAAUGCUGCCUCCCUGCCUCCCCGAUGUGUGCUUGCAUCUUGGAUGCAGAUAAACCAUCACCAUCUACUGGCGGCCAAAAGGAUGACGGUGAAAUAAAGCAGCAGGUUAUUUUGCUUUGACUGAUCUUCACUGGAGCCAAACGAAGACGAUGAGAACUGCAAAUAGGUCCUUCAGAUGCGUUAGCAAAUCCUGAUGGAGAUCUUAUUUCAAGCGAUGCAUGGGAAUGCUGCUUCUUAGUUGUCUACACAUCACCAUCAGCACUAAAAAUAACAUGCAAUUAAUAGCCCUGUUAGUGAUUUAAAUGGACCAGACUUGCUUUCCAAACAGAAGGGAUAUAUUUUAUUUUUUUUUCGGGGCAGCUCAUUUUCCUCUGCUCCAUUUAGAUGCCACAGAGCUGAAGGAGAAAAAUCCCUUUGCAGGAACUUGUUCUAGGUUUAGGCAGAGAAGCCAGGCUCUGGGGAGUAUCUCAGUGCCCUCCUGCCUCCAUGCUCAGUUUGCUUUAAUAUCGACAGGGCACUUCUAAGCCCCUUUUAAUUGUGUCAUCUUAACUUUAACUUACAUUACCUAUUACUUAACUUACUUAACUUACAUUAACUUACAAGCCAAAACAUGGGAAACCCUUGGGGAAUAUCACAGAAAUUUUAGCAGUCCAGCAGGAGCUGUACUGGAAAAGGGUACAGGAGAAAGCUGGAACAUCACCUGCUUCUGCUCUUUAUGCUUUUGCUCACCCUCAUGCUCAAAUAUUGUCCUCUCGAACUCAGACUGCCCAGCUCUCCAUUGUGGCAUGACAGGCAGAUGACACGGAAACCUCCUGUACCAGCUCAGUCCUGUGUUCUGCCUUGAUUUUCAUUUUCAGGCGAAUUGUUUUUGCUGGGCACUUGCAUAAUCAGGAAAUUAUGUGGACGCACAAAAGGAAACAGAAGAAGAGGGCGCUUUGCCAGGGAAGGGGCACAGCCUGCUGGAACAGGGACUUCAGUAACAGUAGCCAAAGCCAAAACCAGCUGAGUUGUACCCUCUUUUCUGUGGGCUUGACAUUGAUCGUAAUUUGAUAUUUCUCAAAAUAAAUAAAUAAAUAAAAAAUAC